UACAGAGGGUGCGAGCGUUAAUCGGAAUUACUGGGCGUAAAGCGCACGUAGUCGGCUUUGCAAGUCGGUUGUGAAAUCCCUCGGCUCAACCGGGGAACUGCGUGUGAGACUGGAUGGCUUGAGUUUGGGAGAGGAAUGCGGAAUUCCAGGUGUAGCGGUGAAAUGCGUAGAUAUCUGGAGGAACACCGGUGGCGAAGGCGGCAUUCUGGACCAACACUGACGCUGAGGAGCGAAAGCCAGGGGAGCAAACGGG
rnacentral:rRNA from 1 species